rnacentral:lncRNA from 1 species
AGUUUUGAAUGAAACUUUUUCACUUUCUCCUUUUGUUUGUAAUGUCGAAUGUGUCUGUAAUGUCGCAUGCCCAUGUGAGUUGCUAACUUAAAAUAAGUCGCUAACUGCCAUAGGUCGGUUAGGAUGUUUGGCAACUUGUGCCGACCCGAAGGUAAGGUAGAUCCCGCCUUUAGAUCGGCUUCUGAUAGUCAAUGCUGAUCAUCGGGCGC